rnacentral:rRNA from 1 species
UUGAUUAUGGCUCAGGACGAACGCUGGCGGCGUGCUUAACACAUGCAAGUCGAACGGGGUGUUUAUUUCGGUAAACACCAAGUGGCGAACGGGUGAGUAACGCGUAAGCAAUCUACCUUCAAGAUGGGGACAACACUUCGAAAGGGGUGCUAAUACCGAAUGAAUGUAAGAGUAUCGCAUGAGACACUUACUAAAGGAGGCCUCUGACAUAAGCUUCCGCUUGAAGAUGAGCUUGCGUCUGAUUAGCUAGUUGGUGAGGGUAAAGGCCCACCAAGGCGACGAUCAGUAGCCGGUCUGAGAGGAUGAACGGCCACAUUGGGACUGAGACACGGCCCAGACUCCUACGGGAGGCAGCAGUGGGGAAUCUUCCGCAAUGGGCGAAAGCCUGACGGAGCAACGCCGCGUGAACGAUGAAGGUCUUAGGAUCGUAAAGUUCUGUUGUUAGGGACGAAGGGUAAGGAUCAUAAUAAGGUUUUUAUUUGACGGUACCUAACGAGGAAGCCACGGCUAACUACGUGCCAGCAGCCGCGGUAAUACGUAGGCGGCAAGCGUUGUCCGGAAUUAUUGGGCGUAAAGGGAGCGCAGGCGGGAAACUAAGCGGAUCUUAAAAGUGCGGGGCUCAACCCCGUGAUGGGGUCCGAACUGGUUUUCUUGAGUGCAGGAGAGGAAAGCGGAAUUCCCAGUGUAGCGGUGAAAUGCGUAGAUAUUGGGAAGAACACCAGUGGCGAAGGCGGCUUUCUGGACUGUAACUGACGCUGAGGCUCGAAAGCUAGGGUAGCGAACGGGAUUAGAUACCCCGGUAGUCCUAGCCGUAAACGAUGGAUACUAGGUGUGGGAGGUAUCGACUCCUUCCGUGCCGGAGUUAACGCAAUAAGUAUCCCGCCUGGGGAGUACGGCCGCAAGG